rnacentral:lncRNA from 1 species
AUGGCGACAGCGCCGUCACGUCCGUCCUUCCCUCUGCUGCGUGGUCCCUGGGUCACCAGGCCCAUAACUGUUAGAAGACAGCCUGUGCUGCAGAAUCGGCCUCUGCCUUCCCCUCUCCCUUCUCUUCCUAAAAGCCCCAGGAAUCCAACCUCUCAGACCCAAGGUGCCUGCCUCGCCAUCACCCUGGAUGGCGAGGAGUCCCCUUCCUGCCAUCCCCUGUGCUGGACACACUGGAGACUGGGCAGAGAGGAGAGGAAGUGGAGGAAGAUCCAGCUGUCACCCAGCAAGGCCGGCACCUGGGAGGAGGCACAGUCCCCUCACAGCCUGGAGACUCUGGAUCUGGGCGAACGCUGCAGGGGCAGGUGCAGACCACCCACGGCACCCACGGUGCUGGAAGAAAGCAUCCAGGGGGGUUGGGUGGGGGAAGGCUGCAGGAAGGUGUCCGUGUGGGGCAGGGGCUCGUCCAGCCGCCUGACACCCGGCCCCCGACGGGACGACCGUGACAGUGGGCAGGUCUGGGUGGCUUUCUUCAUCCAGUCAAGCCCCGCCAGGAGGAUCUGGAGAGGCUUGUCCCUGCCUGUGCCUCAUCCUGGCCACUCACAGAGGCUGCCGAGCAGCAUCCCAGUGUGGAAGGACUUCCACCUCGGACACACCAGCAGGGCCAGAGGGUGGAGGGCGGCGUGCAGGAUCGGCCAGAGGAUGAGUGCACGCUCGCCCGGCCUCCGGGCAGCAGGCCGGCCCCCGCGGCCUCCCCGUCAUCUCCAGGGCAGCACCACACCUGCCCAGGGCGUCCCGGAGGGUGGGGCCCGUGUUCCUCCGGGCAGAGGCAGAGAGCUCUGCCCUUGCACUUUUGUCCUAGGGGACGGGAGACCCCAGCCCCUCUUCUGGCCUCUAGAGAGGCUCAUGGGGCUGAACCCGGGGCCACUUGCUCUGUUCCCGGCACAGGGCUCAGAUCUUCUCUGGAAGCAGAUUCCUCUGCCUGCAGGAAGGGGUCCUUCCGUGUCGGGGGGGCAGGGAGUGAGGCGCCUCUGUCUGAUGUGA